rnacentral:tRNA from 1 species
GAGGAUAUAACUCAGUGGCAGAGUGUGUGCCUAGCAUGCAUGAAGUCCUGGGUUCAAUCCCCAGUACCUCCA